GACAGAGGAUGCAAACGUUGUUCGGAAUUACUGGGCGUAAAGCGCGUGUAGGCGGCCAUCUAAGUCGGGCGUGAAAUCCCACGGCUCAACCGUGGAAGUGCACUCGAAACUGGAUGGCUAGAGUCCUGGAGAGGAAGGUGGAAUGCUUGGUGUAGAGGUGAAAUUCGUAGAUAUCAAGCGGAACACCGGUGGCGAAGGCGGCCUUCUGGACAGUGACUGACGCUGAGACGCGAAAGCGUGGGGAGCAAACAGG
rnacentral:rRNA from 1 species